AUGGGACAGUCGAGAAUGAUUUAGUAGAGCCGUGGGCUCCGAUGACGUUGGGCUCAAAGUCGGGCGAGAUGGGCCAGACUGCAGAAGUUACUCCAGGCUUCCGGUUGGCGGCAAGGAUCUAGUUUUGACAGGUCACGAUCUCGCGGUUCGUGAGUCGGAGCCCCACGUCAGGCUCUGUGCUGGGCAGCCUCAGAACCGGCCUGUGGUACUUCCCAGAGGUGGAGACCAGCCCGCAUCCUUGCCCUACAGCCUUGCCCAGUUGCUGAAAAUCUGCACAGCCCGGAUCUCCUCUCCCGUGUCACACUGACAAUCCUCCUCUUAUCUGAGCAGAAAACGAGAACUUUCUUAUCUGAAGAGGCUAACACGUGGUCUCUGGAUGCGGGGAGGCAACAAGGCGCCCUCUGAGAGCAGGGGGAUCGUAUUGAACACAGGAAGAGAGUUGAGUGAAGUUUUACCUAUUUAAGGGUGAGAUCUGGCCUUCUUUCCCAUCUCCGCUUUGAAGACACUGACAGGCAGAUUUGUACAUUUUGAGCAGGAUUUUGGAGGGCAGUUUCCAGGGAAAUCUGACCAAUCCCAGAGGAAAAAAAACCCUGAAGAUACACUGUGUUUGCUUCUGUUUCAACUGCUGUAACAGACUACCAUUGACUGGGUGGCUUACACCAUAAGCAUUUUUUUUUUUUUUCUCCCAGUUCUGGAUCCUGGCAAGUCCAAGAUCAAGGCACCAGCAGAUUCAGUGUCUGGUGAGGCCUUGCCUCCUGGUUUAUUCAUAGGCUCUUCUCACUGUCUUCACAGGGCAGAUAGGGUGAGAGAGCUCUCUGAGGUCUUUUCUUAUAGACACGAAUCCCAUUCAUGAGGGCUCUAAGCACCGCCCAAAGGCCCCACCUCCUGACGCCAUCCCACUGGGGGUUGGGAUUUCAGCAUAUGAAUUCGAGAGGAACGCACACUUUCAGGUUGUAAAGAUUGCAGAGGAUUCUUCCAGGGGAGAUUUGACCAG